rnacentral:snRNA from 1 species
UUUUAAUACCUGGUUACAUC